UACGUAGGGAGCAAGCGUUGUCCGGAAUCAUUGGGCGUAAAGCGCGCGUAGGUGGCUCUGUAAGUCCGUUGUGAAAGUCAAAGGCUCAACCCUUUGAAAGCCGAUGGAUACUGCAGAGCUAGAGUCCGGAAGAGGCGAGUGGAAUUCCUGGUGUAGCGGUGGAAUGCGCAGAUAUCAGGAGGAACACCAAUAGCGAAGGCGGCUCGCUGGACGGUACUGACGCUGAGACGCGAAAGCGUGGGAGCAACAGG
rnacentral:rRNA from 1 species